AUUGAACGCUGGCGGCAGGCCUAACACAUGCAAGUCGAGCGGUAGCACAGGAGAGCUUGCUCUCUGGGUGACGAGCGGCGGACGGGUGAGUAAUGUCUGGGAAACUGCCUGAUGGAGGGGGAUAACUACUGGAAACGGUAGCUAAUACCGCAUAACGUCUUCGGACCAAAGUGGGGGACCUUCGGGCCUCACGCCAUCAGAUGUGCCCAGAUGGGAUUAGCUAGUAGGUGGGGUAAUGGCUCACCUAGGCGACGAUCCCUAGCUGGUCUGAGAGGAUGACCAGCCACACUGGAACUGAGACACGGUCCAGACUCCUACGGGAGGCAGCAGUGGGGAAUAUUGCACAAUGGGCGCAAGCCUGAUGCAGCCAUGCCGCGUGUGUGAAGAAGGCCUUCGGGUUGUAAAGCACUUUCAGCGAGGAGGAAGGGUAGUGUGUUAAUAGCACAUUGCAUUGACGUUACUCGCAGAAGAAGCACCGGCUAACUCCGUGCCAGCAGCCGCGGUAAUACGGAGGGUGCAAGCGUUAAUCGGAAUUACUGGGCGUAAAAGCGCACGCAGGCGGUUUGUUAAGUCAGAUGUGAAAUCCCCCGCGCUUAACGUGGGAACUGCAUUUGAAACUGGCAAGCUAGAGUCUUUGUAGAGGGGGGUAUAAUUUCCAGGUGUAGAGGUGAAAUGCGUAGAGAUCUGGAGGAAUACCUGGGGCGAAAUGCGUCCCCUUGACAAAGACUGCCCUUCGUUCUAAAUCUGGAUAUUCUCAAGAUAGAUAUUCGGACAUCUACGUGUAUUUUUCCCGGGAUGUAUAGUCUUAUACGCGGGUGGUGGUGUUGGUUUUUGUUUCUGUUUAGGGGCUUCACUUAGAAUAUGUUAUUUCUUGCCUGGUCGCGGAUUACGCGUACA
rnacentral:rRNA from 1 species